CAUUAAGAAUACAAGAAAUUGAAUGACAGGAACAAGAAUCCCAAUUUAUUGAAUAAAAUUAAAUCAAAUCCAUAAGUAAGUUGGAAGUGCCAUAACGUAAUUCUAAAAUAAAGGAAACUACUUAUUUAUGGUGAGAUAUACCAGCAAGUUUAUAAAAUAAGAAAAACAGAACAUGAAGAAACAAAAUUAGAAAAACCCAGAAGAAAAUGCGGCCUUGAACUUUUGGAACUUUAGUUGGAACUUCCUCUAGCAACUCUCCGG
rnacentral:misc_RNA from 1 species